UAAAAUUGUUUCUGAUAAUAGUAAAUGUAUUAGGACAUCCGAAGGGGGUAGGGGGUUAACUUCCAAUUUCCUCCGUGGGGGUGGUAUGGAUGUUUUCUGGAAUGACCCAAUUCUCUUGGAGUAAUAAUCCUUUUUGGCUUUUUUCCAGGGCUGCAUAAUAUAGCGGACCGCGGGACCAUUGGUCCCAGAAAAUUUUUGAGGUUGACAGAAAAAAAAUGGAGGGUAAAACUUAAAAGUCUCAAAAGAAAAAAAAAGUAAAGAGAAAGAAAGGAAAAACAGAAAGGAAGAAAAUGACAUAAUUGAAUAAUAAGCUGUAGGCAGUGAACUAGUGAUGUUUGCAACAUGCAAGUAACGCAAGUUUCCAAUAUACCGGUACAGGCGGCACUCCAGCAGCCUGAUAUUAUGGUCAAAGACAGGCAGACAGCAGUAUAUUAAGACGAAUCCUCUAUGCGGUUGUUAUAAUUGAUUUCAUCUAGUGUAUUAGCUACUUCUGAAAAUACCACUCCAGUUAUAUAUGAAUACAACUCAUUUAACAACUACAGUAUGUGGAUUAAAAAGUCUACGAGUGUGGUGAUUUCUUACAAUGUAGUAAAAAAUCUAAGCAAUAUGUUCCAAUACACAACAGCCUUCUGUCCUUCUCAUGAACUUUCAUCCACUAAUUAAGAUGAUAUUCAUAACAAAUAUAUUAAAAUUAUAAGAAUCUAGAAUCUUAAUUUAAACUGCAGUCAGUUCCCAGUGGUCACUUUCAUUAUCCAUUAAAAUGUAAAUGUUUGUUGUUAAAUUAAAAUAUGAAGAAUAUGUAUUCCGUAGCCAGAAUAAAAUACGUCUACCCUACGCCAAGUGGU